rnacentral:rRNA from 1 species
GACGAACGCUGGCGGCGUGCUUAACACAUGCAAGUCGAACGGAAAGGCCCUGCUGUUGUGGUGUGCUCGAGUGGCUAACGGGUGAGUAACAAGUGAGUAACCUGCCCUUGACUUUGGGAUAACUUCAGGAAACUAGGGCUAAUACCUGAUAGGAGCUCCUGCUGCAUGGUGGGGGUUGGAAAGUUUCGGCGGUUGGGGAUGGACUCGCGGCUUAUCAGCUUGUUGGUGGGGUAGUGGCUUACCAAGGCUUUGACGGGUAGCCGGCCUGAGAGGGUGACCGGCCACAUAGGGACUGAGAUACGGCCCAGACUCCUACGGGAGGCAGCAGUGGGGAAUAUUGCACAAUGGGCGGAAGCCUGAUGCAGCAACGCCGCGUGCGGGAUGACGGCCUUCGGGUUGUAAACCGCUUUCGCCUGUGACGAAGCGUGAGUGACGGUAAUGGGUAAAGAAGCACCGGCUAACUACGUG